rnacentral:ncRNA from 1 species
GGACAGAGGCGCGGUUGCGAUGAGUCCCGAUGGGCAGAGGGUGCCGAACCCGCUUUGCAUCCCAUCGGAAAAGGCAAAACCGCCGAAGUACAUUUCCCGUUCGGCUGGGGGAUGUGCUGGUUGCGUAUCCGAACAGGUGCGUAACUGUCACGGCAGAGCUGCCGUGGAGUGCUG